rnacentral:rRNA from 1 species
GCAAGUCGAGUGCGCGCCCGUAGCAAUACGGGUGGCGCACGGCGCACGGGUGCGUAACACGUGGGCAAUCUGCCCUCCGAUGGGGAAUAACCCCGCGAAAGCGGGGCUAAUACCGCAUAACAUUCCUUGAACUUCGGUUCGAGGACUCAAAACCGCAAGGUGUCGGAGGAGGAGCCCGCGCCCGAUUAGCUAGUUGGUGGGGUAACGGCCCACCAAGGCAAUGAUCGGUAGCUGGUCUGAGAGGAUGGCCAGCCACACUGGAACUGAGACACGGUCCAGACUCCUACGGGAGGCAGCAGUGGGGAAUCUUGCACAAUGGGCGAAAGCCUGAUGCAGCGACGCCGCGUGGGGGAUGAAGCAUCUCGGUGUGUAAACCCCUUUCGACCCGGAAGAAUGCCUCGCAAGAGGACGGACGGUACGGGUAUAAGAAGCCCCGGCUAACUACGUGCCAGCAGCCGCGGUAAGACGUAGGGGGCCAGCGUUGUUCGGAAUUACUGGGUGUAAAGGGUUCGUAGGCGGUGUGGCAAGUUGGGAGUGAAAUCUCUGGGCUCAACCCAGAGGCUGCUUCCAAAACUGCUGUGCUUGA